rnacentral:rRNA from 1 species
UACGUAGGGGGCAAGCGUUGUCCGGAAUCAUUGGGCGUAAAGAGCGUGUAGGCGGCUCGAUAAGUCUGCUGUGAAAGUCCAGGGCUCAACCCUGGAAGGCCGGUGGAAACUGUCGGGCUAGAGUCCGGAAGAGGCGAGUGGAAUUCCCGGUGUAGCGGUGAAAUGCGCAGAUAUCGGGAGGAACACCAAUGGCGAAGGCAGCUCGCUGGGACGUUACUGACGCUGAGACGCGAAAGCGUGGGGAGCAACAGG